AACUAACGCUGGCGGCGUGCCUAACACAUGCAAGUCGUACGAGAAAGUCGGCUUCGGCUGAUGAGUAAAGUGGCGCACGGGUGAGUAGCGCGUGGAUAAUCUGCCCUUGAGUGUGGAAUAACGUACCGAAAGGUGCGCUAAUACCGCAUAAUGCCUGGCAACACAAGUUGUCCGGCCAAAGAAGGCCUCUGUUUACAAGCUUUUGCUCAAGGAUGAGUCCGCGUACCAUUAGCUAGUUGGUGGGGUAACGGCCUACCAAGGCUACGAUGGUUAGCUGGUCUGAGAGGAUGAUCAGCCACACUGGAACUGAGACACGGUCCAGACUCCUACGGGAGGCAGCAGUGAGGAAUAUUGCGCAAUGGGGGCAACCCUGACGCAGCAACGCCGCGUGAGUGAGGAAGGUUUUCGGACUGUAAAGCUCUGUCGAGCGGGAAGAAAUGUACCAUGGCUAAUAUCCAUGAUAUUUGACGGUACCGCUAGAGG
rnacentral:rRNA from 1 species